CUCAUUUGUUGCACACCCACGACCAAAGAACCAUCCCCUUUCUCCCAUCUCCUUUCGCCAGAGGCUCACCCACGACGAAACAAUUACGUAGCUCAGGUCACGUAAUAGAGCUCAAGCAUUAAGGGUGUGACUGAGAAGAGGUUGUAAUGGCUACGGCUACAUAUCCACCACCACCACCAUACUACAGACUUUACAGAGAUUACUUACAGAACCCAAAAUCAGCUCCUGAGCCUCCCCCGCCUAUUGAAGGGACCUACAUUUGUUUUGGUGGCAACUACACGACUGAUGAUGUGCUUCCGAACUUGGAAGAGCAGGGAGUGCGCCAGCUAUACCCAAAAGGACCAAAUAUUGAUUUUAAGAAGGAACUGAGGUCACUUAACAGAGAAUUGCAGCUGCAUAUUUUGGAGCUUGCAGAUGUUCUUGUUGAGAGACCAUCACAAUAUGCGAGGAGAGUGGAGGAAAUAUCCCUUAUAUUUAAGAACAUACACCACCUUCUCAAUUCAUUGCGUCCCCAUCAGGCUCGAGCGACAUUAAUUCACAUUCUAGAACUCCAAAUACAAUGCCGCAAACAAGCUGUCGAGGAUAUAAAGAGGAGAAGAGAGGAGGCCCAGAAACUUCUCAAGGAAUCCCUUGCAACCUUGGACGGACACUAGUGCAUGAUUGAGAUGCUUUUGUUGAAACCAGAACUGCCCGUGUUUUUGUUUACUUAAGCGAAUCUUCAGUUGUUCGAGAGUCCUGGACAUCUCUGUCCUAUUCUACUUCAUUUCAUUCUUUCCACUUUUGAUUAUAUUGGAAGUAUGCCAACCGAGCAGUUGCUGUAUUUUUAACGACUUCACACGGCUCACUGCCUGGGGUGGAGGGUACCUACAAAGAUCCCAGUACAAAGAUUUACGAAGAAAGUGCUAAACGAGAAUCUAAAAUCUAUCAUUGCAGAGAAUGGAACAUGCUGUCAUGCUGAGGCUUUCACACAAGCUGUGGCCUGUGAGUGUUAACAAGUGCUCAAGUACUCCAUACUUGUUCCAAAAAAAAAACGGAACUUAUGGUAUAGCAGAUGAACAUGUUGCCUAUACUUCAGAUGCUUUCAAAUGGGCACCUCGUGUGAUGGAAAAUAGGGUACGAGAGCUUGCCUUCAGAUCGCGUAUACCUAUCGGCGCAACGUCGGGGACUGUAAAUUCCGGCAACGAUGACAGGGACAACUACAACUAAAAAGAACAAGAGACACCGAGUCAUUCACCGACGGUCAACAAGAGCUUAAGGCGGGAAAGAUAAAAAAAACUCUGCUUAGAAGUUGGAACGGGACGAGAUGGACGGGAUUGUGGAUCCGAGAUACAGUUGAUCAUGGUGUAUUUCAAGAACUAAAGUUUGGACAUACUCUUCAAUAACUGAGCAUGCACAAUAACUGAAGGGGAUGGACGGGACAAUAGAGUUUUGAAGGAAAAAAAAUUGACGUGGCAUAAUCGUUAGUGUGUGGGAUCCUUUCGGAGAUUCUCGCAUG